rnacentral:rRNA from 1 species
AAGUCAGAUGUGAAAGCCCGGGGCUCAACCUCGGAAUUGCAUUUGAAACUGGCAAACUAGAGUACUGUAGAGGGGGUAGAAUUUCAGGUGUAGCGGUGAAAAUGCGUAGAGAUCUGAAGGAAUACCGGUGGCGAAGGCGGCCCCCUGGACAGAUACUGACACUCAGAUGCGAAAGCGUGGGGAGCAAACAGGAUUAGAUACCCUGGUAG